rnacentral:rRNA from 1 species
ACACAUGCAGUCGAGCGCACCUUCGGGUGAGCGGCGGACGGGUUAGUAACGCGUGGGAACAUACCCUUUUCUACGGAAUAGCCUCGGGAAACUGAGAGUAAUACCGUAUACGCCCUUUGGGGGAAAGAUUUAUCGGAGAAGGAUUGGCCCGCGUCUGAUUAGAUAGUUGGUGGGGUAAUGGCCUACCAAGUCUACGAUCAGUAGCUGGUUUGAGAGGAUGAUCAGCAACACUGGGACUGAGACACGGCCCAGACUCCUACGGGAGGCAGCAGUGGGGAAUCUUAGACAAUGGGCGCAAGCCUGAUCUAGCCAUGCCGCGUGAGUGACGAAGGCCUUAGGGUCGUAAAGCUCUUUCGCCAGAGAUGAUAAUGACAGUAUCUGGUAAAGAAACCCCGGCUAACUCCGUGCCAGCAGCCGCGGUAAUACGGAGGGGGUUAGCGUUGUUCGGAAUUACUGGGCGUAAAGCGCACGUAGGCGGAUUAGAAAGUUGGGGGUGAAAUCCCAGGGCUCAACCCUGGAACUGCCUCCAAAACUACUAGUCUAGAGUUCGAGAGAGGUGAGUGGAAUUCCAAGUGUAGAGGUGAAAUUCGUAGAUAUUUGGAGAAACACCAGUGGCGAAGGCGGCUCACUGGCUCGAUACUGACGCUGAGGUGCGAAAGUGUGGGGAGCAAACAGGAUUAGAUACCCUGGUAGUCCACACCGUAAACGAUGAAUGCCAGACGUCAGGGGCUUGCCCUUUGGUGUCACACCUAACGGAUUAAGCAUUCCGCCUGGGGGAGUACAGUCGCAAGAUAAACUCAAGGAUUGACGGGGGCCCGCACA